GCCUUCGUGGUCCAACGGACACGACGCCGGUUUCCGGAACCGGAGAUCCAGGUUCGACUCCUGGCGAGGGCG
rnacentral:tRNA from 2 species